GCGCCAGCUUAGUCCAGUGGUUACUUCCUACAGUCAAAUUACUAUCCUGCGGUCCGCGGGCUUCGGGGUUCGAACCACAGGCAAUGUCUGGCGUUUUA
ensembl:vault_RNA Vault Vault RNA